rnacentral:rRNA from 1 species
UACGUAGGGUGCAAGCGUUAAUCGGAAUUACUGGGCGUAAAGCGUGCGCAGGCGGUUUUGUAAGUUUGUCGUGAAAUCCCCGGGCUCAACCUGGGAAUGGCGAUGAAGACUGCAAGGCUAGAGUUUGGCAGAGGGGGGUAGAAUUCCACGUGUAGCAGUGAAAUGCGUAGAUAUGUGGAGGAACACCGAUGGCGAAGGCAGCCCCCUGGGUCAAAACUGACGCUCAUGCACGAAAGCGUGGGAGCAAACAGG